UACGUAGGGGGCAAGCGUUGUCCGGAAUCACUGGGCGUAAAGGGCGCGUAGGCGGCGUGUCAAGUCAGGCGUGAAAGCCCCGGGCUCAACCUGGGAACCGCGCUUGAGACUGGCAUGCUCGAGUUCGGGAGAGGAUGGUGGAAUUCCCAGUGUAGAGGUGAAAUUCGUAGAUAUUGGGAAGAACACCGAUGGCGAAGGCAGCCAUCUGGACCGACACUGACGCUGAGGCGCGAAAGCGUGGGGAGCAAACAGG
rnacentral:rRNA from 1 species